AGACAGACACCGUUGCCAGGACAACCAAGGGCUGGACUUUCUGCAUCAGGAGGCAUGCAGAGAAAUUAGGAAAUGGACCUUGGCCGAUCAUGACAACAGUAAGAAAAGCAAGCUUGAUUCAUCUCAGCGGAGUGGUCGGUUUUUUCUUCAUGGGUGGAGUUGGAUGAGCUUUCUUAAACUAUGAGUUCAAUGACAUUGGACAGAAAAAGGUGUCUUCGUGUCAACAUUUCUCAUUACUCCAAGGGCCUUGGAACUGUGUUCAAUAUCUGGGUCAUCUCUAGAGAAUCGUAACGGGGGGUGUGAAGGGAAUCAAUGCGUCACUUCUGCUUUUCUUACAAACAGUGAAACGUGGAGACAUUUUAUUACUCUGUGAAUUUUUUAAAAGAAGUGUUGCAAAAAAGAUCUUUUUUUUUCCUAAGUUGCAAAUGGAGUCAGAGGAAACCUGGC